GGAACUUGUUAGAAAUGUAGAUUCUUGGGCUCCAACCCAGGCCUACUAAAGUGGAAGCUCUGGGGGUGGGGCCCACAGUCUGUGUUUACUAAGCCUUCCAGGUGAUUCUGAUGCACACUCAGGUGUGAAAACCUCUGCUGUAGAGCACGCUUAUGUGAGUGUGUUCAUGCACCACAUUCUGGGCAUUUUCAAGAAUAGGUAUUCAUUCUCAGACAUAUGCUCCCUGCUACUGCUUCCUAUGUAGGGAUGCAUUCAUUUUCCUAGUCAAACUGGAACAAUGUCAUAUGUGUCUGAAAAUCCCUUAAACUUUGCUUCCCAAGGGUCGGUUCAAGACGAGAAGCAUCUGUAUCUCCUGCGGGCUUGUAAAGAAGGCAGAAUCGUGGGCCCAUCCCAGAUCUACUUAAGCAGAAUCUUCAUUUUUGACAUGAUCCUUCCAGAAGCCACUGGGAUUCCUGGAGUGUUUUCGGAGCAGUGAGUACCACAGACUUUAGCAAGCACACUGGAUGAGAAUCCAACAGUGACCUUGCUUGAGGAAGAUGAACAACGCUUCAGACAGCAUGUCAAAUAGAUUCAAGUUUUAAGAAAUCAGGAAGAAACCAUCUUGGAAAACAAAUAUUGAAACUAGAACAAGACUGUAAAAUAAACAGGAAGGACUUAAAGUUUAUGAAAUAGAAAAAGAUAAUAUAAACGAUCAAUAUAACUAAAAGCUAGUCUUCAAAAGGACAGAGCCACAUUUCUGAGAAAGCUUCCUGACUGGAAUAAUAAAUUGUGCUUGAAAAACAUAGAAACAGAGGAGAGGGCAAGGUUACUGCUGAAAUGGAAAACUAAGUGACACAUGGCUUGAAAACUCUCAGAAUCACUGGCAUUCCCUGGUCAAGUUGAGUGGAACAAAUCACUCCCCAAACAAAAUGAAGUUUUGACUCUAUAGAGCCAAUGGAUGUGGACCCUGGACUUAGAAAGAGAUUUGUAAACAAACCAGAGAACACCGAAGAGCUGCUCCUUCGCACUGAAAUGGUUUGCUGGCUUUCUGCCUAGAUCCGACAUCUCUUCAAAUGGACAGUCCCAACUCUCCUUCUCUCACUUCUCUUCCCCCUUCUCUUGAUACAAAGGAAUGAAAGUGAAGUACCCCCACUACCACAAAUUAUGCAGUCAGGUUUCCUGCAGACGUCAACACAUCCAGCGUGCAAUGGAUGAGCCUCACCCUGGGAAAGCCACCUUCAUGAUCAUGGUAUUUCCCCCAGUAGAUGAACUCACUUAGAUUGAGUCAAGAACCCACUGAAGACAAUCAUCAGAGCUGAGAAAAUUAACUAAGAAAAAGAUGCACGUGGCUGUAAUUAGAAGAAAAACAGUUUGCCUGCUCUCAUUUGGCUGAGCAUUUUAAAAAACCUUUUCAAUAAUACAAGAGAGAAGAGACUGAAUUGUGAUAGCUGGAACCAUGGAUGAGAGAACAGCACACACCCAUCAGAAAAUGUGCCUGGAGCACCUCCUGGGUGGCAGCCUGUUGCAGCAGCACUCAUGAGUCUGGGCACAUACAUUCUGGGAUAGGUGUCCAGGUAUAUUCUGCUAUCAAUAUUGCUAGAAAGUUACCAAAACACCCUGAGCCUCAAUUUCUUUAUUGGUUAUGUAUGAUCUCAGGAGAUGUGUACAGGUUCAAGUCGACAAGGCAUGGACCUGUGAUGGUCAAUACUGAGUGUCAACUCCAUUGGAUUGAAGGAUACAAGGUAUUGAUCCUGGGUGUGUCUGUGAGGGUGUUGCCAAAGGAGAUUAGCAUUUGAGUCAGUGGUCUGGGAAAGGCAGACCCACCCUUAAUCUGGGUGGGCACAAUCUAAUCAGCAGCCAGUGGAGAUAGAAUAGAAGCAGGCAGAAAAAUGUGAAAAGAGAGACUGGCCUAGCCUCCCAGACUACAUCUUUCUCCUGUGCUGGAUGUUUCCUGUCUUCGAAUGUCGGACUCCAAGUUCUUCAGUUUUGGAGCUCGGGCUGGCUCUCCUUUCUCCUCAGCCUCCAGAUGCCCUAUUGUGGGACCUUGUGAUCAUGUGAGUUAAUACUUAAUAAACUCCCCUUUACAUAUAUAUCUAUUCCAUUAGUGCUGUCCCUCCAGAGAACGCUGACUGAAGAACUUGGAGUUCAUACAUCAGGAACAUGUAUUAGCUCAAGUAAUGGCCCCAGCAAAUCCCCUGAGGUUUAUCUUGUCAUCAUCCCUUCCAUUUUAUAGUUGGGCAAAUUAAGGCUCAGAGAGGCAGAGAUAUUUGCCUGAGCUCACACAGAGAGUACUGCUUCCAGGGAGUCUGACCCCAGAACACAUGAUUUUAAGAGCUUAAACCCCACUGCUUACUAAUAAACUUAAAGGACUGGGUAUAUUUGGCUUUCUUUUUCUUUCUUUCUUUCUUUUUUUUUUUUUUUUUUUGUGACAGAGUCUCUCUUUGUAGCCCAGGCUGGAGUGCAGUGGCACGAUCUUGACUGCCCACAACCUCUACCUCCUGGGUUCAAGUGAUUAUCCUGCUUCGGCCUCCGAGUAACUGGGGUUAUAGGCGUGGGCCAUCACAUCUAGCUAG
rnacentral:lncRNA from 10 species